rnacentral:rRNA from 1 species
AACGAACGCUGGCGGCAGGCUUAACACAUGCAAGUCGAGCGAGACCUUCGGGUCUAGCGGCGGACGGGUGAGUAACGCGUGGGAACGUGCCCUUCUCUACGGAAUAGCCCCGGGAAACUGGGAGUAAUACCGUAUACGCCCUUUGGGGGAAAGAUUUAUCGGAGAAGGAUCGGCCCGCGUUGGAUUAGGUAGUUGGUGGGGUAAUGGCCCACCAAGCCGACGAUCCAUAGCUGGUUUGAGAGGAUGAUCAGCCACACUGGGACUGAGACACGGCCCAGACUCCUACGGGAGGCAGCAGUGGGGAAUAUUGGACAAUGGGCGCAAGCCUGAUCCAGCCAUGCCGCGUGAGUGAUGAAGGCCUUAGGGUUGUAAAGCUCUUUCGCACGCGACGAUAAUGACGGUAGCGUGAGAAGAAGCCCCGGCUAACUUCGUGCCAGCCGCCGCAGUAACAC